rnacentral:rRNA from 1 species
UCAUGCCUAUAACAUAGAACUAAUGCACCAGAUCCCAUUAGAACUCCGUAGUUAAGCACACUCGAGCUAGAGUAGUACUGUGAUGGUUGACCACUUGGGAAGUCCUAGUGCUUUACAUGUC